CCCCGUUCCCCCUUAUCGUACCAUCUUCUUGGCGAGCGGGCGGCGGAGCGAUUUCAGCAGGAAGCGCGCGGAUUUGGCAAGCCAUGGAUUUCCCGCUAAAUCCGAUUAGCAGUAUGCAUAUCUAUGCGAUGUAUCCUGCUGAGGCAGCAGUGUUGAAUCUGCAAGGGAAGGACUCGGUAAGCAACAACGUUGGUCCGGUGGCGGCGGGUGCGGCCGAUCUUGGGAACCUGGUGGGCAGUAGCAGUGUGGCUGAUGUCGGUAGCUGCAUGGCUGGCCUGGUACCGUUGACCGGCGAUUCCGGGGAAUCAACUCGACAGGACGAUCCACAAGCCCCCGGAUGGAAGAAGAGAGUCCGGCCGUGCACCGCCAGGUAGAACUCAUUGCGCUGAACGGCAAAGCGCAUUAGAGAAAUCAGUCCGGUGUUACGCAGAGAAACUCGGCGAUGAGGUCAUUGACCCCCUGCUUGGGAACAACAUUUGACUCGAUAAGUGAGGCAUAUGAUUUCUAUAAUAUGUAUUCCUGGGAGCGUGGUUUUGGGGUUAGAUACGGAAAGAGCCAACUAAAUUCAGAGAAGACGAAAUGCAUGCAGGAAAUCGUAUGCAGAUGCUCGGGGAAGCCGACAGGUGAAAAUACGAGGCCAUGUCGCUGUGAAUGUCCUGCGAUGAUCCGGUUAUUGAGGUCUGCAGACAACGUGUGCUGACGGAGACAUGUGGUGAGACUACAUUCUGGCCUUCACACGGGCACAUAGAUAUGUUCACCAAGGACUUGGUGAAACAGCUUAGGGAUAACAACAUUAACAUUGGGAAGGCGUACAUCAUUAUUGGAAGUUUCUUUGGAAGUGUUGACAACCUCCCCUUCACGAAGCAGUCGCUACGGAAUUUGUGUAGACAGAUUAGCCGAGAAGAUGAAGAUGAAGAUGUCCCGAACGGAGGCCUGGGCACAAGAGGAAAACUUGCCCAGAAAGGGGUGAUGAGUCUAAGCCACCAAGUAUGUCGGGAAGGUGCAGUGUUUGUGGUGUCCCUGGCCAUUGGAAGAGCACAUGCGUUAAACCGGUGUGAAAUGGUUCCAUGUACUUGCCAAAAUCCCACGCCAUGUCGACCUGAAAUGCUUGAGCUCCGUCAGGUGACUUCAGCAGCUUUGACCUGGUGCUCAUCUGAAUGUUUAACUUGAGUAGAACAUGAGCAAAGCCAGUCCAAGGUGUUCACAUGCGUGGAUGCCCUGAGUAGAACUGUAUUACCUGAGGGGCUUAGCAUCCCCAGGUAUUUAUCAUAGCUGGUUUUCCUGUAAUAGAACGGUAGCAAUAUUGGAGGGCUUGGCCACUGCAGAUGUUUAAGGGUACGGUUCACUUAAGUAGAACUGUACGAAAAAAGGGUCCUAGCAUCUAUCAGGUGUUUUUCUGAAUGGUUUCCUGUAAUAGAACAUUAGUAAAAUUGAGGAUUGGGC